UUGACCUCAAAUCGGGUGAGACUACCCGCUGAACUUAAGCAUAUCAAUAAGCGGAGGAAAAGAAACUAACAAGGAUUCCCCUAGUAACUGCGAGUGAAGCGGGAAAAGCUCAAAUUUAAAAUCUGGCGGUCUUUGGCCGUCCGAGUGUAAUUUAGAGAAGCGUCUUCCGCGCCGGACCGUGCACAGUCUCCUGGAAUGGAGCGUCAUAGAGGGUGAGAAUCCCGUCUUUGGCACGGAUGCCUGGUGCUUCUGUGAUGCG
rnacentral:rRNA from 1 species